rnacentral:lncRNA from 1 species
UUUUGAGAAAAUAAAACAAGUCAUACACCUUUAGUCUAUUCUGGAUUUCGUUGCAGAAUUCAUCCAAACCUUCACCAGUUAAAGCAGAAACACAGACCACAUCGUUUUUUUUUCUUGGCUUCCAACUUGAUUUUCUCAGGGUCCCUAGCUUUAUCAACCUGUCAAAAGAUGGUUAGACGAUUAUGUUGUAAUCUCAGCUUCAGAAGUCAGGAUGACAAAAUAACCAGCAAUCUUUAUCAGCAAGCGGAUAGCUAUUGUGUUAAAUGGAAAGGAAGGGAAGACGAUACCAGUUUCAGUUUGUGCACACAAGAUGCUCAUCUAUUACAUUCAGACCUUGAACAUCUAGUUUAGCUAGGAAAAGCUAUCUUUUCUCAACG